rnacentral:rRNA from 2 species
AAAAGAGUUUUGGCAACAAAUAUCUUUCAUCACGCAUAUGGGAAGAGGGAAGCAAAAAUUCACACCAAGUAUGACAUUCAGAAUCGUUUGUACCAUAGAGUUGAGGAAAGCAAUCUGUGCCCAAAACUAUCUGGUGGAGGGCGAGGCCCCUGGGCGUCAG